GACGAACGCUGGCGGCGUGCUUAACACAUGCAAGUCGAACGGUGAAGGGGUCUGCUUUUGUGGGCCCUGGGUGAGUGGCGAACGGGUGAGUAACACGUGAGUAACCUGCCCCCUUCUUCUGGAUAACCGCAUGAAAGUGUGGCUAAUACGGGAUAUUCUUGGUCUGUCGCAUGGUGGGUCUGGGAAAGGUUGCGCCUUUGGGUGUUUUUGGUUGUGGAUGGGGUCGCGGCCUAUCAGCUUGUUGGUGGGUUGAUGGCCUACCAAGGCGGUGACGGGUAGCCGGCCGGAGGGGGUCGGGGGUCAGACGGGGACUGAGACCCGGGCCAGAGUGCUACGGGAGGCAGCAGUGGGGAAGACUGCAGAAUGGGCGCAAGCCUGAUGCAGCGACGCCGGGUGAGGCAUGGAGGCGUGCGGGAUGUAAGCCUCUUUCGCGAGUGACGCAGGCCUGCGUCAUGUGGGUGGGUUGACGGUAGCUGGAUAAGAAGCGCCGGCUAACUACGUG
rnacentral:rRNA from 1 species